GACGAACGCUGGCGGCAUGCCUAAUACAUGCAAGUCGAGCGGAGUUAUGAUGGAGCUUGCUCCUGAUUAACUUAGCGGCGGACGGGUGAGUAACACGUAGGCAACCUGCCCUCAAGACUGGGAUAACUACCGGAAACGGUAGCUAAUACCGGAUACGACUUUUCCACAUAAGUGGAACUGUUAAAAGGCGGAUUUAUCUGCCGCUCAUGGAUGGGCCUGCGGUGCAUUAGCUAGUUGGUGAGAUAGUAGCUCACCAAGGCGACGAUGCAUAGCCGACCUGAGAGGGUGAUCGGCCACACUGGGACUGAGACACGGCCCAG
rnacentral:rRNA from 1 species